GAGUUUUGUGCAUAAUUGACUUGUUAACAACAGCUGCAAUUCAAUGAUAUAUAUACCUAUCAAGAGGUUAGGUUGUUUUAGCGAAUGUUUGGUUCUACUGUGAGAAAAUUUGAUUUUGAGUGAAUUGAUUUUGGUUAAAGUGAGUUGAAUGUAAAGUGAUUUAUGUUUGAAUAACUUUAUACAAAAUUGAGUCGAACAGUAAAUUUCAAUGUAAAAAUCAUGUUUAAACUCAAAAACUACAAAUUCUAACUUCAAGUAGAAUAUUUUCUGGAGGGAGAAUCAAUUCUACUUUAGAAGAACCAAACACCUCAAAAUCAUUCUAAAAUCAAUUCCACACCUCUAGAAUUACUUUUGGCUCUUUCAAAAGGUAAACCAAACAUACACUUAGAUUUUGAAUAGUUUGAACUUUGCUAGUUCUUAUCUUUUUUCUUUAUUAAGUUAGCUUUUUGUAGUGUUGCUGAUAGUAGGUAACCAGUCACCAUUUUUAUUGACAUGCAUAUAAAUUCUUUUCUGCAAUAAGAAAAAAGCUGUGUUGUACAAAAGUCACUGAUGGUGCUGUUAGCAAAAGCAACAGUGCUUUUCUUCUUCUUCUUCUUUUUUUAGAAUAGUGGUUACUCUUGCACACCCUUUGCCUGUUGUUAAGAAGUGGAGCCCAGUUCAGCAUGCCAUGCAUCUCUUAUUGCACUAUGGAAUCUUUUGUUUUAUUGUUGACUGUUGGUUGCCAUCAGAAUUCAGAAGAUGGUACUUAUUUUGCAUUGUGCACAACACUGCUGGUUGCCCAACUUGUCCUGGGUAAUGGACUGGUCCAGCAGAGUAGUCAAUAGCAGCGCUAUCCCGCAAUAGCAGAGUGGAACGGAGGCCGGCCACUAUGGGAAGAGACUUAGCGGCGCAGAA